rnacentral:tRNA from 1 species
GGCACGGUGGCUCAGUGGUAAGAGCGCCCACCUCAUGAACGGGAGGUCGUGGGUGGGUUUAAAUCCCGGCCGAGUCA